rfam:Colletotrichum gloeosporioides Nara gc5 unplaced genomic scaffold scaffold835, whole genome shotgun sequence.
GCCUCAUUGGCUAAGUGGUAUAGCGUCUCACUAGUAAUGAGAAGAUCGCCUGUUCGAUUCAGGCAUGAGGCA